CCCCUUAAGAAUGUCGACUUGGAGGUUGUGCCCUUGAGGCGUGUGCUGUGCCUGGAGCUAACGCGUUAAGUCGACCGCCUGGGGAGUACGGCCGCAAGGUUAAAACUCAAAUGAAUUGACGGGGGCCCGCACAAGCGGUGGAGCAUGUGGUUUAAUUCGAUGCAACGCGAAGAACCUUACCUACUCUUGACAUCCAGAGAACUUACCAGAGAUGCUUUGGUGCCUUCGGGAACUCUGAGACAGGUGCUGCAUGGCUGUCGUCAGCUCGUGUUGUGAAAUGUUGGGUUAAGUCCCGCAACGAGCGCAACCCUUAUCCUUUGUUGCCAGCGGUUAGGCCGGGAACUCAAAGGAGACUGCCAGUGAUAAACUGGAGGAAGGUGGGGAUGACGUCAAGUCAUCAUGGCCCUUACGAGUAGGGCUACACACGUGCUACAAUGGCGCAUACAAAGAGAAGCGACCUCGCGAGAGCAAGCGGACCUCAUAAAGUGUGUCGUAGUCCGGAUUGGAGUCUGCAACUCGACUCCAUGAAGUCGGAAUCGCUAGUAAUCGUGGAUCAGAAUGCCACGGUGAAUACGUUCCCGGGCCUUGUACACACCGCCCGUCACACCAUGGGAGUGGGUUGCAAAAGAAGUAGGUAGCUUAACCUUCGGGAGGGCGCUUACCACUUUGUGAUUCAUGACUGGGGUGAAGUCGUACAAGGGGUAACCGAAGAGUUUGAUCCUGGCUC
rnacentral:rRNA from 1 species